UACAGAGGGGGCGAGCGUUGUUCGGAAUUACUGGGCGUAAAGGGCGCGUAGGCGGCCAACUAAGUCAGACGUGAAAUCCCUCGGCUCAACCGGGGAACUGCGUCUGAUACUGGAUGGCUUGAAUUCGGGAGAGGGAUGCGGAAUUCCAGGUGUAGCGGUGAAAUGCGUAGAUAUCUGGAGGAACACCGGUGGCGAAGGCAGGUCUCUGGGCCGAUACUGACGCUGAGGAGCGAAAGCGUGGGGAGCGAACAGG
rnacentral:rRNA from 1 species